rnacentral:rRNA from 1 species
GCGCAUUAUGGUAACAUAGUGUGAUACUUCUUAGAGGGACAUUUCGGGUAUACCGGAAGGAAGUUUGUGGCAAUAACAGGUCUGUGAUGCCCUUGGAUGUUCUGGGCCGCACGCGCGCUACACUGAUGAAUUCAACGAGUUUUUGUUCUAUUUCGGGAUAAUUUCCUUAUCUGAAAGGAUUGGGUAAUCUUGUAAAUGUUCAUCGUGAUGGGGCUAGAUUCUUGCAAUUAUUAAUCUCCAACGAGGAACC